GAAUGGAUCGUGUCUUAAAUCUACAUGGCCCCUGGAUUGGACUGCGCGCCGAUCAGGCUGUUGGUGAGGUAAUGGCCCACCAAACCUAUAACCGGUACGGGCUCUGAGAGGAGAAGCCCGGAGAUGGGCACUGAGACAAGGGCCCAGGCCCUAUGGGGCGCAGCAGGCGCGAAACCUCUGCAAUGGGCGAAAGCCUGACAGGGUUACUCUGAGUGAUUUCCGCUAAGGAGAUCUUUUGGCAGCUCUAAAAAUGGUGCAAAAUAAGGGGUGGGCAUGUCUGGUGUCCCCCGCCGCGCUAAUACCAGCACCCCGAGUGGUCGGGACGAUUAUUGGGCCUAAAGCAUCCGUAGCCGGACGUGCAAGUCCUCCGUUAUAUCCAGCCGCUCACCGGAUGGGCUGCUGAGGAUACUACAUGACUAUCACGCGGCAGUAGCCAUUUUGUUCUUAGUGGGUUCGGAUAAAAUCCUUUGAUCCCUAUUGAAAA
rnacentral:rRNA from 1 species